AGCAGUCGCCGCGGGAAUACGUAGGGUGCAAGCGUUAAUCGGAAUUACUGGGCGUAAAGCGUGCGCAGGCGGUUAUAUAAGUCAGAUGUGAAAUCCCCGGGCUCAACCUGGGAACUGCAUUUGAGACUGUAUGGCUAGAGUGCGUCAGAGGGGGGUAGAAUUCCACGUGUAGCAGUGAAAUGCGUAGAUAUGUGGAGGAAUACCGAUGGCGAAGGCAGCCCCCUGGGAUAACACUGACGCUCAUGCACGGAAGCGUGGGGAGCAAACAGGAUUAGAGACCCCAGUAGUCCCUGUCUCUUAUAC
rnacentral:rRNA from 1 species